rnacentral:rRNA from 1 species
AGUGAACGCUGGCGGCGUGCCUAAUACAUGCAAGUCGAACGGAGUGGCGCACGGGUGAGUAAUAUAUAGUUAAUCUUCCCUGCACAGAGGAACAACCGUUUGAAACGGCUGCUAAUACCUCAUAGUGUAGGAUGAGACUAUAUCGUAUCAGCUAGUUGGUAAGGUAAUGGCUUACCCAGGCGAUGACGCGUAACUGGUCUGAGAGGAUGAUCAGGCACCUUGGAACUGAGACACGGUCCAAAAGCCUACGGGAGGGAGCAGUAAGGAAUAUUGCGCAAUGGGGGAAACCCUGAAGCAGCAACGCCGCGUGGAGGAUGACACUUUGCGGAGCGUAAACUCCUUUUAUCAGGAAAGCGGUACCUGAUGAAUAAGCACCGGCUAACUCCGUGCCAGCAGCCGCGGUAAUUC